GGGGGUUUAGCUCAUCUGGUAGAGCGUAAGGUUCGCAAUCUUAAGGUGGCCGGUUCGAGUCCGGUAACCUCCA
rnacentral:tRNA from 2 species